rnacentral:lncRNA from 1 species
GUAGGGACCAUCAUCCCCAAAACCAAUCCCAAUCUUUCUUUUGAGGUAUUGAACCUUCUUAAUAAAUUUCAUACAGAUCUGUUUGCUUCAACAAAAGUUAUUGUCUGGACAAGUUAUUGAAUGGAAACUACAAAAAUGCUAAUUUGGGCCCCUUUUUUGGCCCCAAAUUCCUACACUGUUGGGACCAUAACCCCCAAAAUCAAUCACAAGCUUCCUUUUAUGGUAUUGAACCUUCU